AGCUACUCACCCCUCAUACAGCACUGCGAUUGUGUAGGAAAUUGCCACUACAGCUGUCAGCAAAAGGCCAGCUGGGCUUGCAUGUCUGUUUUGAAAGAGAAGGAAAAGAUCAGGAGAAACGAGGCUGCUCGAUGCGGGCGAUGAGAAGCACUUGGGGCCCCCCACGAUCCCUGGAGCCUGACCUGGGCUGAAGCACCACCCCUGCUUCCCUCCAGCUUCACCACAGCCUGGUGACAGACUUCGGUCAAGUCAGAUUUACUUGAAAUGUUGGUCAGCGCUGGAAGGAACCACGCUCAGGUGCGAGACAGAUGGGCUCAGACAGGUCCAGCCACCUCUUGGUGCCCUCAGCCUCGGGGAAGCCGAACCGUUGUUACUGCAUUUGUCAGGAAAUAGAGCAAAUAUCGAGGCAGACGGCGCCACAAAUGCCCGAAUCCCUGCGAGGGCAUGGUGCAGAGCAGGGGUGCUGGGAGGACUGCUCUGCAGGGGAGAAGGCUGUCAGGGCAAGGGGUCGCAUCCAGCCCCUGCACAUAUAGGCUGGGGUCAGUGCUGCAUGCAGGAGAUGGGGGGGCACAGAAAGGUUUGGUGCAGGAGGGUGACUCACACGGCUGCCACUGCACUGUUUAGCCCACACUUACGAGACAGAGCAUUCUGCAGAUGAUCCAAAGCUUAAACGUGCUGUUAAAAAGGAAUCUAACAGUCAGCCUCGAUGUGGUCUCUGUGCCCUGCCUGGUUCAACCCUCACUGCUGCAGGAAAACCCAAAAAGGAAGGGUCAAGUGCUGUUCCAGUAGGUUUUUGAAGUGCUUGAGUGUCAGAUUCUCUUAAAACUUCACUCGAGCUCAGGUAUUGACCGUAACAAGCAGCUGGAUGAUGCUAUAACCCUCUUCUUGCCAAAGCAGCGCAGCCCUUUGCUACCUGCAGUCAGAGGCACUGUCACUGCCAGGGGACCCUGCUCCUGCCGCAGCACCCACACAGCACUGAAACCCUGCAUACAGGAGGGCAUUGGAAGUACCAAUCCCAAGAGAGUCCUGAUCAACAUCCCACACAAGAUCCUCAGAGACCUGCAGACCUCUUCGUCUUCCCCGCAGCUGGCGGUUCAAGUCCAGUGGAUCCUCCUGUUUGGAUGAAUCAGGCUUUACGUAAACAACCCCAGACCUGGCUGAGCUUCAGGAGCAUUCAAGCAGCUCUCGCUGGCGGGUACUCCUGCACCUGGCCUCUCUGGACACGUCUCCGCAGGCACAGCAUCACUCCUAGGUGAUGUGGGUGAUUUUGGAGGGUGCUGGUGCCUGGUAGCUGGGGGACAGGGGCGUAACACAGGGCCAGGAGCAGGGCUGCAAAGAUGAAGGGUGUAGGCACACAUUUGGGAGUGCUGAGCUCUAUUUCUGGCUGCAGGAUCUUGGCCAACUCAACACAUUUCUUUGCAACUCCACUUGAAACCAGGAAGGCUUAUUACCUCCCUCUUCUUCCUGGCGACGCUGCAGGGGCUAAUUGAAUUUGGUUUGUAAAGCACUUGCAAAAGCACAGCCUAAAUGCAGUGUCAAAGCUGGGGCUGUGAUUAUUUCAGCCAGCAGGAGCUGCCCCUUUCCUUAGAUAUUUAUUGUUUCUGUCUCUAUUUUAUUUUUUUGAAUUCCACACAUACUGGCAUGUUUUUAAAGUCAACAGUGCUAAUAGAAUUACUCUCUAAAUGUGAAAGCAGGCACAGUGGAAAAUGCCUUCUGCCAUAAAGCGGCAGAUAAAAGAAUCUGUCAACGAACAUCAGGUUUAUUGCAGAGGGAAAAGCAAACGAGAUCGAGCCUUGGCGCGUGUGCCGAGCGGCUGGGGGCUCAGAUCAAGGCUGCCGGACAGCUCACACCUGCUGUGCCGGUGCUGACCUGCUCGUGGGAUCCCUUUUCUGGAGGGCAUUUGGACUGCCAGAUGAUCAGCUGCUUUCCAAAAUUUCAGGCUUGACACUGAAGGUGAUGGUAUUGACUGUAUAAAACUACAGCACCACCUUCUUCAUGUGAGGCAACAGCACGGUUAGAUCACGCUUCGGUAUCAUAAAGCCGAGACCAAAUCUAACAGCCCUGAAGACAACAAUGAGCAAGUUCUUACAGGACUCUGCCCUAGCAAAAGACCCCUGCAAGUAUUAAAUGCACUUUCUGGUUAAGCUGUUGAAUAUUCA